UCCCUGGUGGCUCAGCGGUAAAGAAUCUGCCUGCAAUGCAGGAGAUGCAGGUUAGAUCCCUGGUCAGGAAG
rnacentral:tRNA from 1 species